ACGGGAGGCAGCAGUGGGGAAUAUUGCACAAUGGGGGAAACCCUGAUGCAGCGACGCCGCGUGAGUGAUGAAGUAUUUCGGUAUGUAAAGCUCUAUCAGCAGGGAAGAUAAUGACGGUACCUGACUAAGAAGCCCCGGCUAACUACGUGCCAGCAGCCGCGGUAAUACGUAGGGGGCAAGCGUUAUCCGGAUUUACUGGGUGUAAAGGGAGCGUAGACGGCAUGGCAAGUCUGAUGUGAAAACCCGGGGCUCAACCCCGGGACUGCAUUGGAAACUGUCAAGCUAGAGUGCAGGAGGGGUAAGCGGAAUUCCUAGUGUAGCGGUGAAAUGCGUAGGUAUUAGGAGGAACACCGGUGGCGAAGGCGGCUUACUGGACUGUAACUGACGUUGAGGCUCGAAAGCGUGGGGAGCAAACAGGAUUAGAUACCCUGGUA
rnacentral:rRNA from 1 species